CGGGAAUUUUGGGCAAUGGGCGAAACCCUGACGCAGCAACGCCGCGUGGAGGAUGAAGUCCCUUGGGACGUAAACUCCUUUCGACCGGGACGAAUAAUGACGGUACCGGAAGAAGAAGCCCCGGCUAACUUCGUGCCAGCAGCCGCGGUAAUACGAGGGGGGCAAGCGUUGUUCGGAAUUACUGGGCGUAAAGCGUGCGCAGGCGGUUUUGUAAGCCAGAUGUGAAAUCCCCGGGCUUAACCUGGGAAUGGCAUUUGGGACUGCAAGGCUGGAGUGUGGCAGAGGAGACUGGAAUUCCUGGUGUAGCAGUGAAAUGCGUAGAUAUCAGGAGGAAUACCGAUGGCGAAGGCAGGUCUCUGGGCUGACACUGACGCUCAUGCACGAAAGCGUGGGGAGCAAAC
rnacentral:rRNA from 1 species